rnacentral:rRNA from 1 species
UACGUAGGGUGCAAGCGUUGUCCGGAAUUAUUGGGCGUAAAGAGCUCGUAGGCGGUCUGUCGCGUCUGCUGUGAAAACUCAGGGCUUAACCCUGAGCUUGCGGUCGAUACGGGCAGGCUGGAGUUCGGUAGGGGAGACUGGAAUUCCUGGUGUAGCGGUGAAAUGCGCAGAUAUCAGGAGGAACACCGGUGGCGAAGGCGGGUCUCUGGGCCGAUACUGACGCUGAGGAGCGAAAGCGUGGGGAGCGAACAGG